CUCUGCCUGUGUUACCCCUCAGACUAUCUGUAUGGAGGCGUCCCCUGCUGUGUGUGAAAACUUCCUUCACUUUUUUAUUGAUAAGGUCACUUCUAUUAGAGCUCUAAUCCCACCGUCUGCUUAUGACCCCUCAAUCUCUGUCCCCUGCUCGGCUGUAUUUGACCAGUUUAAGCCUGUGACUCUUUCCUUUUUACAGGAGAUUGUUGGUCAUUUGAAGCCCUCAGGUUCUCCAAACGAUGCUGUCCCUCCUCGACUAUUUAAAGAGGUUUUCCCAGCUGUAGGACCAUC